rnacentral:rRNA from 1 species
GACGAACGCUGGCGGCGCGCCUAACACAUGCAAGUCGAACGGAGCUUAGAGAGCUUGCUUUUUAAGCUUAGUGGCGAACGGGUGAGUAACGCGUGAGUAACCUGCCCUAGAGUGGGGGAACAACAGUUGGAAACGACUGCUAAUACCGCAUAAGCCCACGGUACCGCAUGGUACUGAGGGAAAAGGAUUUAUUCGCUUUAGGAUGGACUCGCGUCCAAUUAGCUAGUUGGUGAGGUAACGGCCCACCAAGGCGACGAUUGGUAGCCGGACUGAGAGGUUGAACGGCCACAUUGGGACUGAGACACGGCCCAGACUCCUACGGGAGGCAGCAGUGGGGGAUAUUGCACAAUGGGGGAAACCCUGAUGCAGCGACGCCGCGUGGAGGAAGAAGGUUUUCGGAUUGUAAACUCCUGUCGUUAGGGACGAUAAUGACGGUACCUAACAAGAAAGCACCGGCUAACUACGUGCCAGCAGCCGCGGUAAAACGUAGGGUGCAAGCGUUGUCCGGAAUUACUGGGUGUAAAGGGAGCGCAGGCGGGAGGACAAGUUGGAAGUGAAAACCAUGGGCUCAACCCAUGAAUUGCUUUCAAAACUGUUUUUCUUGAGUAGUGCAGAGGUAGAUGGAAUUCCCGGUGUAGCGGUGGAAUGCGUAGAUAUCGGGAGGAACACCAGUGGCGAAGGCGGUCUACUGGGCACCAACUGACGCUGAGGCUCGAAAGCAUGGGUAGCAAACAGGAUUAGAUACCCUGGUAGUCCAUGCCGUAAACGAUGAUUACUAGGUGUUGGGGGAUUGACCCCCUCAGUGCCGCAGUUAACACAAUAAGUAAUCCACCUGGGGAGUACGACCGCAAGGUUGAAACUCAAAGGAAUUGACGGGGGCCCGCACAAGCAGUGGAGUAUGUGGCUUAAUUCGAAGCAACGCGAAGAACCUUACCAGGUCUUGACAUCCGAUGCAUAGCACAGAGAUGUGUGAAAUCCUUCGGGACAUCGAGACAGGUGGUGCAUGGUUGUCGUCAGCUCGUGUCGUGAGAUGUUGGGUUAAGUCCCGCAACGAGCGCAACCCUUAUUGCCAGUUACUACGUUAAGAGGACUCUGGCGAGACUGCCGUUGACAAAACGGAGGAAGGUGGGGAUGACGUCAAAUCAUCAUGCCCUUUAUGACCUGGGCUACACACGUACUACAAUGGCGUUAAACAAAGAGAAGCAAGACCGCGAGGUGGAGCAAAGACUCAAAAACAAACGUCUCAGUUCAGAUUGCAGGCUGCGACUCGCCUGCUUGAAGUCGGAAAUUGCUAGUAAUCGCGGAUCAGCAUGCCGCGGUAAAUACGUUCCCGGGCCUU